UUUUCUCCGAUGGAAAUAACCACAGCAAAAGACAACCUUCAACAAAGCUUGAGCUGCAGAGUUAGCUGCUGGGAUUAUGAAGGACAACUUACCGCUGGAAAUCUCUACAUAAACAAAGUUUGCAGGCCAGGUGUCCCUCUGUGUCAGAGGCUUACUCACUGCUGCAGGACCCCACUGGUGGAAUUACAAGCCCUACAGCUGAAUAAUAUGUGAAUCAAACGUCUCCCACUGCACACCAAUGUGGUUUUGUACAGCCCAGCAUACCAAGCAGCUGCAAAUAUGGUUAAAUUGGGUUGCCCUGCAGACAGAAGAAGUCCACCUGGCACCGUCAGGAGUGCUGGUGCAGGACAGGUGAAAUACGCGUUCUGGAAGUGCCAAGUGGGGAGCUGCUGAUGGGGCCUCUGAACAGGACCAGGCCAGGAAAGUGGCUCUGGAGCCAGAGGGCAAACAGGAGGCCAAGUGGAAUCACAGAGUCACCCUGACAGGCCUCCUGCACCUCUGUCAUCCCAACUUAAAUCGCAGCAGAAAAAGAUGUGCGGCUUCACAGUGCAAGGGGUGUGCUGUGUGACACAGAGAUGAGACUGUUCCCAACCCAGACAGCUUCUUCCCAGCUGACAUAAACACCCCUCACCUUCUCGAGAAACCUGAGGCUGGAAACAGGCUGGAAACAAGGGAAGUGCCUCAUAAACCUCCAUCCUGAAUGCUCCAGACUGCCAAAACAAAGGGCUGGCAGCCCAGCUGCAAAGAUGCUGUGGGUAACAGCAUCAAUAUCAAGAGGAUUUAAUUCAUAAUCAUGAGAAAACUGAGAACAAUAGCAAAGCCAUGAAGCUCCCUGAAGGGUUUGUCUGAAGAAGCUUUGAUUUCAUCAGUCUUGAGUAUUAUCUAGUUAGAUUUGAGCUGGCUGAGAUACCAGGUCAUUACCGAAAGAAAAACACGAACGGAUGGCACCCUUUCUGCAGAGAAGAAGCCAGAGAGAAUCUUAAGUUCAUUGUCUUUGUGGUGCUUCUUUUUGGGGGCAGCAAGAAAUAGGCCUUUCCCUCUGCUUUUAUUUGUAGAUCUGCCAGAGGAAGGUAAAACUAAGCAUCAGAUGCACUCGAAACAUUCAGAAUCUUUUCUCUCAGCUUUUUGUCUAAAGUCCAAAUUGAUUAAGUGUUGACAAAAGAAAACAUGGUUUUAAGCGGGUGCCUUUCCUUACUGGUCCAUUUCAAAUGAGCUCUGUUGUUGAUGCCUGUAAUGUAAUGGUAUUAGCUCACCCAUUUCUGCACCGCUUCAGAGGAAAAGCCAGGUGGCACUUGGCUUUAUCUGUAAUUAGAAAAACAAUUUGAGGAAAAAAAUAGUUAAUUUCUCUUUUCAAAAGCAGAGAAGAUUUCAGGCCUUCUUUAUUCAUCCCAUUAAAGCCUUCCUCAUCACUGAAAGGAGCACAUUGCGUUUUUUAAAGGGGGAGAGCAAAGGAUCUCCAAAAGGCUCUGUACCUGCAUCAUCAGAUUCAGCUUUUUUCUAUCUUGUCCACGUGUCUUUGAGAACAUGAUUUGGCCUUCCCUAAUGACAUGCAAGUACAAGCACUGAGGAUAAAUGUGACAAGGGCUUUAAGGCCAUCUCCCCAGCUGGUGACCAAGACAGAAGACCAGAAGGAGCAGAGCAUAGUAGUGUAACCCCAUCCCCAGGUGCCUGCAUGCUCCUCUCCUAUUUUUCAAGUAGUGUCAAGUGUCCUGGGGACAAAAAAGCUCACAGCCAUACCAGGGACCUCUGCUGAAUAUACAUUUAGGCAAUAGUCUGCAUUUUAUCUUUAUUCAUAGAAGUAUAAAAUCCUACAAAUCAGGAUUUUUAAUGGGAAUUUUGUUGUAGACAGAUCAGGGCUUUGUUUAACUUUGCAGGAACCAUCCAACUGCACCUCUCUCUUACUAACAGUGGCCAUAAGUGCGAGUCGCUCUGCAGAUUUGAGCCCCUGGAUCAUGGCUUAGACAUUUGGUUUGCCUUAUUUUUCAAAGGAAAAAGCAGUCACUGCAUAGGGGACUGGGAUGUUAUUGUUUUGUUGGAACAAGAAGGAGCAGAAAAGUCCAGUCCCAUUUCUGCGUGACUGGAGUUGUCACUGCUCCCUUGCAGGACAAGUCACACAGUGCAUGUUUACUGGGAAUUUCUGCUGGGGAACACAAAAAAAAACAGGUAUACAGCCACAGAACCCGCUGCUUGGGGCAGCACUGUGGGCAAAAAUGGGGGAGACUUCUUUCCUCUUUUCCUCAGCCUGUUCUCCUGCUCCAGGAAGCACUGUUGGGUGAUAAAAGCAGUUUGCAGGUUCUGUGAUACAGAAACCAAGAUGAUGAAACCAAUUGCCAGCCUUCAGAGCAGGAAAAGGUCCAGCAGAUAUAGCCACAAAGUGGUUGUUAAGGCUUGAGCCUGCGAGGGGGAGGUGAUCAGUGAUCUGCAUCUUACUACAGCAAUAAAUUCCCAGCCACCUAGAGGCUUCAGGUUAGCUUAUUGUUGUUAGAUUAUCAGUAAUAUGAGGAGUGGGGAUGGGCAAUUUAUUAUGUUUGCACCAUGUCCAACAAAAGUUUUGAUAUCUCUAAUUGCUCUUGUAAUAAAAGUGAAGGUGAGCAAUAAAACCAAGCCUUCACUCAGGACUUCAGCACAGCAGCAUGGGGCAUUUGCAUGACAUUUCUUCCCAACGACGGACUUCUCCCAUUCUCCUUCCUCCUUCUAUCACUCCUUGAGCAGAAGAAGAAUCUCCCUUGCCAGUUUGCAGCAUGGAACAAACGACAAAGACAAGCAGUUUGGCCUCUCUGAGAAGCAGUGAUCCAACCAUAACCAUGUGCACGCACAGUUGCAAUAGCUUUCUGCAACCAGUUUGUCACUAAGCUGUGAGGAGCAUCUCGCAUGUCAGCUUGUCAGAGUUCCCUUAGAAAGUUAAAUGGUGCACACUCUAAUUGUAAUUGGAUGCAAAUUAAAAUAUCACUCAUGAGAGGACUGAAAUCCUGGAAGGGCAGAUUGCAUGCAUUAAGCCUCAGGAUUUGAAAAAUGUCAGAGAAUAUGUUGUUCCUUUUUAGAGUUUGCUUCUGUCCUCUGCCACCCUGGCAAAGUGAAUAAAUCAAUCUCUUCCCCCUUCCUGGAAAGUGAAAUGGGGAGGUUCAACAUCUGCUGAUGAAGAGCAUUUGAGUCAUUCACAAUCUGCUGACUGGAGCUGCUCAGUCCAAAGUCUGAAAGGCUUUUCAAUGUAACAACAGGAUCAGGGAAGGCCAUCUCAGAGAUGCCAGGCCUGGCACCCCGAGCAGAACUCUCAUCAGAGAGAAAGGGAGAUGGAGGGCUGCCCUUCUGUGACAGGCAUCCCCCAAACACAGCCAUCCCUUCAGCAAUAAAAGGGAAUUUGCGACAUCUGGUAUUUCCUGUGGGAAGCAGAACAAUCCUGCUUAGCAAACAACGACAAGCCACACCGGCUUGUGCGGCCCUGGAAUAGGUGUAAAAUGUGGAGAGGUGCAAAACUGGCACCUGUGAAAGACGGAUGUGCUCUGAACAAGGCCCCUCCUUAAUUACAGCUGCCACUUUACAACCUGGAGAGAUUGCUAACAGGGACAAUUCUCAGUGGCAGUUGUUUUUAAGCUGCCUUCCAGAUGCUCUCUAAGCCUGGCCAUCCCCAGGCUUGCAAUCAAGGCUCUCACUUUCCCUGUAAGUGCAUGGAGCUCCCGGGGUGAGGGCUGGGGGCCCUGUGGGGUGCCACUGCCCUCCCCACCACAGAGGAUGGCCCAGUGACCCCUUCAGUUUAGUUCUGACUUCAUUCUUCCCAGAGUUAGCAUGUCGAGGUUUUUAGAAGAAAUGCACUGCCUUUUUUAUUUAUUUUUUUUCCUGUGGAAAAUCCUGCACUGAAGCAAUUUGUGGUCAAAGCUAAGAAAAGUUUAAGCUGUCCCUGGAAGACACUGGUGAUCGAUGCAAUAAUAAGUCUGUUCUCAUUAAGGCUAUGCACAAAGACAGUCUUAUAUUGACUUUUCCCAUGAAAAUUUCUGUUAUGAUUCCUAUAAAUGUGCUUUGGGGAUACCAAGCAUCUGUGUUCUUCCUGUGCCCCCAGCACAAGAAGGCCCCAGGGAAGCCUUACAGCGGCCUUCCCGUACCUAAAGGCAGCUGCAGGAGAGCUGGGGAGGGACUCUUUGUCAGGGGGUGUGGUGACAAGACAAGGGGGAAUGGCCUUAAACUAAAAGAGAAGUAGGUUUAGAUUAGAUAUAAGGAAAAUAUUCUUCACUCAGAGGGCAGUGAGGCCCUGGCACAGGCUGCCCAUAGAAGCUGUGGUGGCCCCAUGCCUCGAGGUGCCCAAGGCCAGGCUGGAUGGGGCUGGGGGCAGCCUGCUCUGGUGGGAGGUGUCCCUGCCCAUGGCAGGGGGCUGGAAUUAGAUGGACUUUAAGGUCCCCUUACCUGGUCUUCAGCAGUUUCUUUGCUUUCCUACCAUCCCGCCACAGCGCCGCAGAAUUCACUCCUCCUGUUGUGUGAUGUGUAAGCAGGACACCCCAUGCUGCAUCAUCUGUGCCAGUGUUUGGGGGUACUUAGUGCUGUUUUUGGGCUGAACCCAUGAUUUCUGUUUGGGGCUGAAGCAGUAUUGUCUUCCCCCUGAAGCAAUAUUGUCUUUUGGGACAGUGCUCACAGUGGCCAGGUGUCACAACAGCUUCCUGGUUCUGUACUGCGGCUUAUUGAUGGGCCCAUGGGGUUAUAAAGCUGGAAGGUAGCAGCGAAUGUCUCCCCACAGCCUGUACACAGACAUCUUGUGGGGUGGUGAGGACCAGUCUCUGAACAUUAAGCAUUCUGAUCACUGGGAAAAGGUUUUUUUCCCACCUCGCUGGAAGCACCCAUCUCUGUGGGUGUCUCAGCUCCUUGCAUCACCCUGGAAUCUGGAAAUGGGUACAGGCAGAGGGCAAUAGCUUUACAGCUUGCCUUUUUGCUGCCAUCAGGGCUAAACAUAUCCAUUCACUUUUCGUAGGCUAGGAUAUGUAUUCAGAGGUAGUGCCAGUUUCCAAACUCAUCUC